rnacentral:rRNA from 1 species
GACGAACCGUCCAACCGUUAUUCGGAAUCACUGGGCUUACAGCGUUCGUAGGCGGUCUGGAAAGUUGGGUGUGAAAUCCCUCGGCUCAACCGAGGAACUGCGCUCAAAACUACCCGACUCGAGGGAGAUAGAGGAAAGCGGAACUGAUGGUGGAGCGGUGAAAUGCGUUGAUAUCAUCAGGAACACCGGUGGCGAAGGCGGCUUUCUGGGUCUUACCUGACGCUGAGGAACGAAAGCUAGGGGAGCGAACGGG